UUUAAUAGUCUGGCCUGCCCACUGAUAUUAUAAAGGGCCGCGGUAUUUGGACCGUGCUAAGGUAGCAUAAUCAAUAGUCUUUUAAUUGAAGUCUGGAAUGAAUGGUUGGAUGAAAUAUAGGUUGUCUUGGGCUAUAUGGGUUGAAUUUUACUUUUAAGUGAAAAGGCUUAAAUGAAAUAGGGGGACGAUAAGACCCUGUGAAGCUUUAAUGUUAUUAGGGUAUUUAUUGGAUAAUAUAUUUGUGAUUAUUUUUAUGUUUUAAUAAUAUUUUAUUGGGGCGAUUGGAAUAUAAUGUGUAACUGUUCUUUUAUAAAAAUAGUAAUUUUUAGAGCGUUGAUCUUUAAUUUAGGAUUAAAAGAUUAAAGUUACUCCAGGGAUAACAGCGUAAUUCUUUUUGAGAGUUCUUAUCGACAAAAGUAUUUGCGACCUCGAUGUUGAAUUAAAAGUUUCUCCAAGGCGUAGAAGUUUUGGUUGUAGGUCUGUUC
rnacentral:rRNA from 1 species